rnacentral:snRNA from 1 species
AUACUUACCUUCUUGCGACUCAGUGAGCUCAAGCAUUCACUGGUCUAAUGCUCUCGCCUGCAUUGCACAGCGCGGCGUGGGAUCAUUACGAGCUUCCUUCGGGAAUCUCGGCGGGGCAAUUUUUGUUGGACUGCCACACUUGUGUGUUUUGGU